rnacentral:tRNA from 1 species
GCUCCGGUAGCUCAGUCGGUAGAGCACGAGAUUUUUAAUCUUGUGGUCAGGAGUUCAAGCCUCCUCCGGUGCACCA